GUGGGGAAUAUUGGACAAUGGGCGCAAGCCUGAUCCAGCCAUGCCGCGUGUGUGAAGAAGGCCUUCGGGUUGUAAAGCACUUUUGUCCGGGAAGAAAUCUUCCAGGUUAAUACCCUGGGAGGCUGACGGUACCGGAAGAAUAAGCACCGGCUAACUUCGUGUCAGCAGCCGCGGUAAUACGAAGGGUGCAAGCGUUACUCGGAAUUACUGGGCGUAAAGCGUGCGUAGGUGGUUCGUUAAGUCUGCCGUGAAAGCCCCGGGCUCAACCUGGGAAUGGCGGUGGAUACUGGCGGGCUAGGGGGCGGUAGAGGGUGGUGGAAUUCCCGGUGUAGCAGUGAAAUGCGUAGAGAUCGGGAGGAACAUCUGUGGCGAAGGCGGCCACCUGGACCAGCACUGACACUGAGGCACGAAAGCGUGGGGAGCAAACAGGAUUAGAAACCCGAGUAGUCC
rnacentral:rRNA from 1 species